rnacentral:rRNA from 1 species
GACGAACGCUGGCGGCGUGCUUAACACAUGCAAGUCGAACGAUGAACUGGAGCUUGCUCCAGGGAUUAGUGGCGAACGGGUGAGUAACACGUGAGUAACCUGCCCUUGACUCUGGGAUAAGCGCUAGAAAUGGCGUCUAAUACCGGAUACGAGCUUCAGCCGCAUGGCUAGGAGUUGGAAAGAAUUUUGGUCAAGGAUGGACUCGCGGCCUAUCAGCUAGUUGGUGAGGUAAUGGCUCACCAGGGCGACGACGGGUAGCCGGCCUGAGAGGGUGACCGGCCACACUGGGACUGAGACACGGCCUAUACUCCUACGGGAGGCAGCAGUGGGGAAUAUUGCACAAUGGGCGAAAGCCUGAUGCAUCAACGCCGCGUGAGGGAUGACGGCCUUCGGGUUGUAAACCUCUUUUAUUACGGAAGAAGCGAAUGUGACGGUACCUGCAGAAAAAGCACCGGCUAACUACUUGCCAGCAGCCGCGGUACUACCUAUGGUUGCAAGCGCCUGUCCGGAAUUAUUGGCGUAAAGCUCGUAGGCGGUUUGUCGCGUCUGCUGUGAAAUCUGGGGGCUCAAUCCCCAGCCUGCAGUGGGUACGGGCAGACUAGAGUGCGGUAGGGGAGAUUGGAAUUCCUGGUGUAGCGGUGGAAUGCGCAGAUAUCAGGAGGAACACCGAUGGCGAAGGCAGAUCUCUGGGCCGUAACUGACGCUGAGGAGCGAAAGCAUGGGGAGCGAACAGGAUUAGAUACCCUGGUAGUCCAUGCCGUAAACGUUGGGAACUAGAUGUGGGGGCCAUUCCACGGUCUCCGUGUCGCAGCUAACGCAUUAAGUUCCCCGCCUGGGGAGUACGGCCGCAAGGCUAAAACUCAAAGGAAUUGACGGGGGCCCGCACAAGCGGCGGAGCAUGCGGAUUAAUUCGAUGCAACGCGAAGAACCUUACCAAGGCUUGACAUAUACCGGAAACGUCCAGAGAUGGUCGCCCCGCAAGGUCGGUAUACAGGUGGUGCAUGGUUGUCGUCAGCUCGUGUCGUGAGAUGUUGGGUUAAGUCCCGCAACGAGCGCAACCCUCGUUCUAUGUUGCCAGCACGUUAUGGUGGGAACUCAUAGGAGACUGCCGGGGUCAACUCGGAGGAAGGUGGGGAUGACGUCAAAUCAUCAUGCCCCUUAUGUCUUGGGCUUCACGCAUGCUACAAUGGCCGGUACAAAGGGCUGCGAUACCGUAAGGUGGAGCGAAUCCCAAAAAGCCGGUCUCAGUUCGGAUUGAGGUCUGCAACUCGACCUCAUGAAGUCGGAGUCGCUAGUAAUCGCAGAUCAGCAACGCUGCGGUGAAUACGUUCCCGGGCCU